AAUAUGUUGACCUUACUAGUUAAUAGCUGUUGGUCUUGGGACAAAGUGUUUCACUUCUGUCUUAGAUUUCUCUUUUAAGAAUUGAGCAUAAGAGAAUUUACAUCAUAGAGUUGUUGCAGAGAUUAAAUAAAUACUACCAAAAAGCAUUCAGAAUAUUGCCUGGUACAUACUAGGCACUCAAAUGAUGUUAGCUAUGCUAAUAUACCUAUUGUUAUCAUUAUCAUCAUACCUUAAGAACCAAGACUCAGUUGUGUACAUUUGGAGAACCCAGAAGUUUAAAGGCUCUUUAGGAAGCAUUCUGAAAUUUGGCUUCCUCAUGUUUCAUCUCCUUAGUUAAUCUAAGCUCCCAUACGUCAUCUCUCUUAAAGAAGUAUUUAGAUGGCAAAUAAAGUAUUUAAAUAGCAAAAUUAAUUUUGAGUGAAAAUUGAAUUUCCAAUUGUAAAGCCCAAUUUCAGCCACUAGGUGGCUAUAAAACACUAGCUAUAUAUAAAUAUAUAUAUAUAUAUAUAUAUAUAUAUAUAUAUAUGUAUAUUUUUUUAGUGGAGAUGGAGUCUUACUCUGUUGCCCAGGCUGGAGUGCAAUGGUGCGAGGCUCACUGCAACCUCUGCCUGCCAGGUCCAAGCAAUUCUCCUGCCUCAGCCUCCCGAGUAGCUGGGAUUACAGGCACGUGCCACCACGCCUGGCUAAUUUUUGUAUUUUUAGUAGAAACAGGGUUUCACCAUGUUGGCCAGGCUGGUCUUGAACUCCUGACCUCAGGUGAUCUGCCCACCUCGGCCUUCCAAAGUGUUGGGAUUACAGGCGUAAGCCAUUGCGCCCGGCCAACACUAGCUGUAAUUUUUUAAUCACCAAGAAAUUUUUGUGUUUUAAACAAAUGUUCAGUAUUGCUUAAGUCAUAUUUUCUCCUUCAGCAAAUUAGAAAGACAGGAGAGAAAGGGAACUAGGAGUCACAGCUCUUCCUCUUAGAGCCCAAGGGGCUUGUCAGAAGAGGUAGGCAGUGUUUCUGAGGACCUCCAUAGCCUGCCUGCACACCCAGACAACAAGAAACCUGGCAAAGGUAGUGUUGUGUAAGGGGUACUGCUUACCUAACAUGUGCACUCUGGAUAUGGCGAAUAUUGGUCUUUCCACCCCAGUGCUACCUAACAGUAGGUGACUCCAGCCUCCCUCUGGCUAACUGUUCUGUUGGUGCUGGACAGUGAAUGCUAUAGACUAACACGAUUGGGACACAGGCUGAAGCAGGAAGAUGAAGGCAGAAGAAAGGCUGGUUGCUGGGGAGGUUGUCAGAGACUCACCCAGCAGCCUGUGCAAGUUUAAGAGAAGGCCUAAGUGCCUAUGGGGUCAGUGCUCUAAUUUACAAAUACAAAAUAUUUUUAGUCUCUGUAUCUGCAGGUCCUAAACGUUUGGGUUUGAAUUACAGGGUUGGUGACUGUAUUUAAAGUUUUCUGAUACACUCUCCCGGAGAUGGCUGUCACCAGUCAUUUCUUGCUCAGCAAUAACUCUCUUCGCAUGUGCAGGAAGAAUGUCUCUGUAGCUCUUGCUGCUGCCUCUGCCUGGCACAGCUGCAGAGAUGGAGAGAGAAUCACAUUCCAUCUCCCUUUUGUUAGAGGGGAGAAGAGAAAGUAACUUCCAGAUUGAGACCAAGUCUCCGACGGGUCUAAACGUGAACUCUAUUCUUCUUCCUAUAAUACUACAAAGUGUUCUCUAUAAAUGAAACUUCUCAGAGGCUUUUUUAAAAAUGCGGUAAACUAUGUAAAACGUAAAAUUCGCCGUUUUAACCAUUUUUAAGUGUACAACUUAGUGGUAUUUAGUACAAAGUUGUGCAACCAUCACCACUAUCCAUCCAUUUUCAGGACUUUUUCAUCAUCCCAAAUAGAAACUCUGUGUGCCAGUUAUUAAACAAUAGUUCUCCGUUCCUCAUUUCCUAAGAGAGGGUUAUUUUUAAACGUUUUGGUGCCCAUAAAGUCGGUGGCUAUGUUUACACCUCUUUUUAAGCACUUUAACAUUUCAUUUAUUUAAAGAAUAUUUACUAGGCAACUCUACUGGAUGAAAUAUUAGGAAUAGAUUAUCGAAUAAAUACCAAUUCUUUUCCCAAAGGAGCUUGCAAUGAAUUGAGAAAGAGACAUAAAUAAAAGAUGUCAGUGCAGUGUGGUGAAUGCUAUGAUAGACAAAGGCAAAAAGAAAACUGGCGAGAGAUCUAGCUUUUGUAGAACACAAACUGUCAGACUGCACCAAGUACUCACCCACUUUGUUUCUCUUCACAACAGUCCUGUGAAGUGGCUACCAUGAUCACAUUUUACAGGUAAAAAAUCUGAAACCUCAAAUGAUCAUGCAAGUUGCCCAUGGAUACUCAGGGUAUAGUUUAGAGAGGUCAAGCACUAAAGAAAUAAGGAGUUAUGGGUUCUUAGCCAGUCAUGGUGGCACAUGCCUGAGGUGGGAGGAUCCUUUGAGCCCAGGACCUGGAAGCUACAGGGAGCUAUGAUCGUGCCACUGUACUCUAACCUAGGUGACAGAGCAAGAUAUUGUCUCAAGAAAAAAGUUAUGGAUUCUAAUCCAUCUAAUCCAGACUGUAUAAUUGACAAGCUUCGUGCAUUUAGGUUUUUUCCUACAGUUCUCUGGGCCUGAUUUCCCUCUAUAGAAUGGCAGAGCUAUACUACUACAAGACCCCUUAGGAUUUUUUUCUUCAAGAAGAUGGGAAGGAGUGAGUGGACAUUGAAGAGUUCUCAUCACAGACCUAAAGAAGAAACAAACUGAAGAAAAUUCUGCACCUUUAGACUCAGUGUCAGGAGUACCCCAGAACAGAGAUCCCAUUAUGCUGGGUGGAGUGGGGCCUUGGGAUCACAGAUAUGAGACCUCUAAAUAAAUCUGAGUCAUUAAGAACUGCUUUGGAGACAAGGCUGGACUUGGUCUGAUAAGUUAAUAUCUUCCACAAAAUUUAUGUUUUCUGCCUAAAUUUUUCAUUAUUCUUAUUCCGUAUUAAGACAGUUAACCAGCUCUACUUUCUAACCGCAGGGAAGGACUGUAGCAGGGUGAUUUGUACUCAGAGCUACUUGCCUCACAGAUUGUAUGGAGGGAACAGAGGAAAAUGCAGUACAAUAAGAAUGAGAAUGUAGAUCUUAAAUAAGAUUCUUCCAGACUGGGAGGGAGAGAGUAGAAGACAAUGGAUGGGAUUCUCAGAAGCAGGAUCUGAAUCUUGGUACUGCCAAUGAGGUAGAGGUGAAAGGUCUUCAGAUACAAAUGCACACAAGGCUGGUUUAGGCAGACAGGAUGGUAGCCUCACAGAUGUAGCAAAUAUGUCUAGAUCUAGAUCUCCACAAAUACGUAGUAAAAUAUGAUGUUUCUAGGUCUUCACCAAUGCUGUGCUUUCUGCCUGGAAAGGUCCCCUCUGUUUGUCUAUUUGUUGACUUUCUGUUGUCAAAGCAAAAUUGUACCAUACAAAGUGAAACAGGCAAGGAAGGCUUUCUUCAAGGCUGUUGCAAUAGGGAGUGAGACCAGAACGAAGUCUGAACUCAGGAGGUAUUUUAAGAGCUGAGAUGAGCUAGUAGAAAAAUACUGGAGGAUGUUUGAAGGAGAUUUAUCAAUGGGAUAUAUCCAGCAAAUUGAGUUAUUUAAGUUUGCAAAUGGUUUUCUUGGUGAUUAGUUCACCUGAGCUUACUAAUUCUCUCCAUGGAAGUUAGGCUCUUAUUCUCCCACAGAGACUGGAAGAUAGGGCAUGGUUUCCUUGAUGAUUACAUUUCAGUGGAAUGGCUCCAAGGUCCUUGAGAAGGACAGUUCUGAGUUGUACAAUCGGCAAGGGGCUUUUUAAAAGAUUUAUAUCUCAAAGGAGGCAGAUAAAUAAUUUACAAAUAUUCUAAAGUAAAUGUUCUAAGAAGGAGAGGUCAAGGGCCUAAAAUCAGAAAGAAACAUGUCUAAAGUUUAGUCAAGCUGAAGGGAACGUUAAAGCCAUCUUGUAAAUUCCAUCUUUAGUCAUAGAAAAUGUGACCCACUUUCUGAUUCUCUUUACUUCUCCUAUACCCAAUAUUGUGUUCCGACAUCUACAGAAACUCUGAUUCUUGUUGAUACAUUCAACUCCAAUGUAUGGAACUAAACUGCAAGUAUCAAUUUAUAUAUUUAAGACAUUUAAGGAAGAGACAAUGUCUUUUUUCAUCACUUAGUUCAGUGAUGAUUGCAUGGUUGAAAAUGCAGAAUAAAUAUUUGUUAAAGUAAACUAAACCUUAGUAACUUACACAGGCUAUUUUGACUACUCUCACUGAUUCGAUCUUUCUACCAAACUGGCCAGUUUUAUCACUUUUCCCCCAUCCAUCUACCACAUAUAACUUGUUUUCCUGUCUGUUUGCUUUGUUUUGUUAAUUUGAAUAGUUUACAAAUGUCCUUAAUUUAAGUGACCAGAAUUCUAAUGUUAUAUACUACUACUUAGUUUAAGCUCAGUUCAAAGACUGAGUAAUUUUUGGCCAAAUUCUCAUCAUUGUGACAGUAAGUUUUCCACUUUCUGUUUUAUUAACACUCAUGGAUGGUAAGAAAAAAGAAGAACCUUCAUGAGUGCUUUGAUGGUAGCUCCUGGAAAAGUAGUUUGAGUAAUAAAAUGGCUCCCAAUUGCUCAUCAGCUGAAAAACCAACUGCCCUUUAUAUAGUUCUACCAUUAUUUCUAUACAGGCAGAGCCUUUGUUUUCACAUGGUGAAGGAAAACCUCGAAGACAUGGUUUGCAUUGAUUUCAAAUUCCUCUUAAAAUGACUCUAACCGGAGGAAAUAUUCUUUUUGUCUGAGUUAUUCUGAAUUGUAUCUGUUUUGAUUACAUCUACCAGACAAUUUUAGUUAGCUCUUAGCAGUAAUCUUAUUUAGCCAUCCAGAUGUCUGAAAAUACCAUGCCAACAUCCUUUUCCUAUUGUAUUGUUGACUAGACACAGCCUAUUACUUUGAAUUUCAGUUGGCUCACAAGCACACACAAAACAUGGAGUAUAGUGUAGUUGAUAUUUUAUAUCUGCCAAGUGCUUUAUUCUAUUCCUGAGAUUAAUUUUCGCAACUAUGGACCAACAGUUAUCCUUGUUGGUCACUAGGAGAAAUUUCAUGGUAUGUAUGCACAUGGAAAUCAUUAAAUAAAAGCGACAAAAUGUAAUAUAUUUAGUAUCAGUCACAAAAGAACUGUUUUAUGAUAAAAAGUCUUCCCUGAAAACAAAGCCCUUACCGACAGAUGAGAGAGCUAGGCUGUCUAAGAGAUGUCAAUUUUCUUUAAGCCUGAUUCUAGACAGAUACAUGAGCAAAUUACUCCUCUUCUUAGCUGUGCUAGCUUGGAAAGUUAUUUCAGGUCAGUUGACUUUCAUGUUCAUCAGUGUCCUCAUCUGUAAGAAGGGAAUAAAACCACCUGUCUCUUAAGGCUGAUGUGAUAAUUAAAUAAGACAUUCUAUAAAGCACUUAAGAAAAACAGUUGGUGCAUAUUACAUUCUCAGUAAAUACUAGCCAUUAUUCAUUUUGUAAAUAAUCAGGGGAGGAAAGGUCAGAGAAAAUAGGUGAAAUAUCACCUACCAGAGAAAUAUGAGAAUCAGAUCAAGAAAGUUUCGUGGUUCUCUUAGCUCUCGAGUUGACUGUGGGUAACAACAUUUCUUCUUUCUUCUCCACAAAUUUUCCUUGUCUUUCCUUUUCAAGAAACCCACAAGGGUAUUCCACCCUCCAGAUUACAUUCUUAUUUUCUUAUUAACAACAGGUUUCUAGGACCCAGCCUACUUUCCUCUCCUCUUGGAAACUGCCACUAACAUACUGUCUCUGAAUGUCCGGUUUCUUCCAAUCUGCUAGAAUGGGAAAGGAAGAAAUUGAAGAAAGAACGACGUGGGUAAGAGAUUAAUGCUUUGCAUAUGAAUAAAAGUGCAACAUCACUGAUGAUUUUGGAUUGCUUUCUCUUAAAAUGCAAAUAUCCUUGAGAGGUAUGCCAUACGAACUCCUUUAUUUUUGACUGUCGAAGACUUUACCAAACAGACCUUUUUACUCCAAAAGGACAUAAUGAAAAUUCCAGGAUUUUUCUGGUGUCACAAAAUGGCCAGAAAGGGGCUAUAAAAUGGAACAUCUUCCUUCUGAACAACUACUCACUUGGAUGGUUCCUUUCUUGGUUUUCAACAUAAACUCAUAAGCCACCACUUUUCCCCAUCCUAACUAAACUCUAACUUUUAGAAAUAAGAAAAGAUUGUGAAGAGAUAGCCUGAUGAAGAGGAACGCAGAGGACAUCCAUAUAUAGGGCCAUUAAAUGAAGUUAUUCACUGUGUUUCUACGUAUUCCAAACAAAGAAGUUCUGCCCUUUGAACGCAGACAAGUCAUCAGCUUAAGAACAGUUGGAUUGUUUGUAACUAAGAAGUUGGGCACAAGAGACAUUUCACUAUAGACCACUCAUAUGGUAUUGGGGUUUGUAGGCCAUCCCCUCCAGGCCUCAUAAGCCAACAAUGAACCUGAAGUUAGAUAAACCUGAACUGACCUAAGCUCACCAUAACUAACACUAGUUCUAAGGAGAUACUCCUAGAAUUCUAGUUCAGAAUUUAAAACAGCUUUCCCACCCCUUUCCUCAACAAACACAUAGUCUAAAUAGUGAGAAUUCUUUCCUUCUGCUUUAUUUUAUUCUCCCUUCCCCUAAUUUGACGUCUUGAAACCUCAACCCAAAUUCUUGAAACUAGCUGUAGGAGUUUUAUGUCCAAUGAGUUCCUUCCCUCGUUCCCUCCUUCCUUCCUUCCUUCCUCCCUCCCUAAGUGAAAAACAUAUAAUGUAUUUUCAAUAUUUCAAGGUAUAUCAAAAAUUAUUAAGAAAUGUUUACAUUGUUAGUAUGUUAGAAUUGAUUUUUUGACACAAAUCCAAGCUAGAUAUAUAUUUUUGUUAUUAAAAUUUCAAUUUUUACAAUAUAUGUGAUCCAUUAUUGCAAUAUCCAAGAAGCUGGUAAUGUAUUUACAAAUUUAUUUCUGGGUUGAUUUAUUUAGAAUUGUAAUUGUCUUAUUUAUUAACAUAUCUAUGCUGCUUUAUUACCCUGAGGUUUUUUCAAUGACCAUGAGACUAUAAAAAAAACUAGAGAAAAAAGACCAGGCGCAGUGGCUCACGCCUGUAAUCCCAGCACUCUGGGAGGCCAAGGCAGGCAGAUCACGAGGUCAGGAGAUCGAGACCAUCCUGGCUAACACAGUGAAACCCCAUCUCUACUAAAAAUACAAAAAAUUAGCCGGGUGUGGUGGCGGGCACCUGUAGUCCCAGCUACUCGGGAGGCUGAGGCAGGAGAAUGGCGUGAACCCAGGAGGCGGAGCUUUCAGUGAGCCAAGAUCACGCCGCUGCACUCCAGCCUGGGCGACAGAGCGAGACUCUGUCUCCAAAAAAAAAAAAAAAAAACUAGAUUAAAAAAUGGAAUAAUGAAUAAUACAACCAACAUUUAUGAAAUACAUGAUAGUUGAAUUAAAACUUUCCAGCAUAUCUUUUAUGAUUGGUUGUCAUCCUAAACAAAACAGAAAAAUAUAUUAAACCUCUUCAGCCUUCAAUAGAACAUUUAACAACCAUGAAAUAGCAUUAUCAAUGGAUAAAAAAAUAAAUUUGCCUCAAGAAUAUCUAUAUUUAAAGGCAUAUAUUUCAUAUAAUAGAUAAUUCAGUGAUGUAAAAGAUUGAAUUGCUUCUUUUGUCUUCAUUUUGGGGAAUGAUUAUACAAUUCUAUGGGGUUUUCAGGUCUUACACCUUUGUUAUCAUUUGUUAAUCUUUUCUCUAUCUAUGGAAGCUUUCACGGGCCAACCAAGGAGCAGCUUUCUGAACUUCUUUUUCUUUUUCUUUUGACACAGCACUGGGAUCAGAAACCCUGCAGAGUUAACUGUGUUUGCUCCUUAGUCAAGAGAAUACAUAGUCUCAGGCUGAUUAAAACAAGAUUUUCUGCAGAAUGGGGCUAAUUUUCCAAGUGCCAUGAUGUAAUUCCCCUCCGCUUCCGUGUCCCCACCAUAUCCUCUCUAGACUGGAUUCAUGAGAAGCAAAUAAUUCUGUAAGUUUCCAUACCACAUCUUUCAGCUGAAGAGACUCAAGCAUUUUGUGGAAACAACACUGAAGCAGGAAGGUGUAACUCUUCCUACUCAUUUAUCUCAGGCUUGCCCAUGACCCUGGGCAAGUCCCAUCACAUCUUGGUUUCCACAUAGGUUGAGCUAAGUAGCUAAUGAAGCUCCAUAGGACUCUCAUCCUAUCAGUGCUGUUUGCUUCAUUUAUUCAACUUAAGAAAAGUUCUUUAUUUUUAAAAUUGAACUUAAUUUGUUUUAAUGAUCAUACAGUAAAGUCACUUUUUUUCUUUUGAAGUAGAAUUCUAUGAGAUUUAACAUACAUAUAGAUUCAUAUAACCACCACCACCAUUGGGAUACCGAGCUUUUCUAUCUUCCAAGAAACUCCCUCAAGCUAUCCCUUCAUAGUAACACCCCCUACCUAUAGCCCCUGGCAACCACGGAUCUGGUUUCUACUGUUGUAGUUUUGUCUUUUGAAAAUGCCAAAUAAAUGAAACGUACGUAACCCUUUAGACUGGCUUUUCUGACCCAGCAGAAUGCUUUUAAAAGUUACCUAAGUUGUUUAGUAUAGUGUGUUCCUUUUUACUACUUAGUAGUAUUCCAUUGUGUGAACAAACCACAGUUCGUUUAUCCAUUUGCUCGUUGAAGGACACUGAGUAAUUUCAGGUUUUUGGCGGCCACAGAUAAUGCUACUAUGAACACAUGUGUACAGGCUUACACAUGUGUGUGUGUAAUAUUAGUUUUCCCCAUUGUAGGAUAAAUGCCCUGGAGUGGGGUUGCUAUCAGUGGCAAGGGUGUGUUUAGCUUUAUACAAAGCUGUGAAACUGUUUUCCAGUGGCUUUACCAGUUUUCCUUUCUACCAGCAAUGUGUGAGAGUUCUAAUUCCUUACCAGCAUUGGUAUUGUUGGCAUUUUUAAUUUUAGCAAUUUCAAAAGGUGUGUAGUAAUGUUUAAUUGUAUUUGAAUGUAUCUAAUGGCCAAUGAUGUUGAACAUCUUUUCAUGUAUUUAUUUGCCAUCCUUAAAACCUCUUUGGUAAAAUGCCUGUUCAAGUCCUUUGCCCCUUUUUUAAUUGGGUUAUAUGUUUUCUUAUCAAUGAGUCUUGAUAGUUCUUCAUAUAUUUUGGGCACGUAGCCUUUGUCAGAUAGAUGAUUUGCGAAUAUAUUCUUCAAGUCUGUAGCUUAUUUCUUCAUUCUCUUGGCAGCAUAUUAAGCAAAGAUUUUUAAUGUAAUGAGGUCCAAUUUGUCAAUUUUUUUGUCUUUACAGAUCCAUCUUGGUGUCAUUCCUAGGAACUCUUCACCUAACCUUAUGUUAUAAAAUUUUUCUCUAUGAAAAUAAUUCUAAAGAAAGAAAAUGCUGUAUGCAUAAGGACAUUUCUUGCAACACUAUUAGUGAAUGGUGAAAACUGAAAUAAUCUUGAGUUGCCACCCUAGAGCAAUGGGUACAUAAAUUACGACUCUUAUCAUCCUUUGGCUAUGGAAAAUAUUUAUUAAAAGCGUACAAUAAUAUUACAGGGAAGCAAUCAUGACUUAAGUUAAAGUAAGAUGCAUUUAUAUGUACUAUAUGCCCAUAAUAACAGAAAAACAAAAACAAAUACUGCUUAGAAAAGAGAUGAGAAGGAAAUAUGAUAAAUACGUUAACAAAGUAGGCUAGAGUAGUGAUGCUGGGUAGCUUUCUCAAUGUUUUCUACUUUUCUAUAUUUCCUUAAUUUUCUUUAAAUAUAUUUAUGAAAUAAACCAAAACACACAAUUUUAUUUUUAAAAAAUUCACUCGCGGCUGUACGGAGUGGCUCACGCCUGUAAUCCCAGCACUUUGGGAGGCCAAGGUGGGCGGUUCACGAGGUCAGGAGAUCGAGACCAUCCUGGCUAACACGGUGAAACCCCAUCUCUACUAACAAUACAAAAAAAAAAAAAAAAAUUAGCCAGGCAUAGUGGUGGGUGCCUGUAGUCCCAGCUACACGGGAGGCUGAGGCAGGAGAAUGGUGUGAACCCAGGAGGCAGAGCUUGCAGUGAGCUGA